UACGGGGGGGGCAAGCGUUGUUCGGAAUUACUGGGCGUAAAGGGCUCGUAGGCGGCCAACUAAGUCAUACGUGAAAUCCCUCGGCUUAACCGGGGAACUGCGUCUGAUACUGGAUGGCUUGAGCUCGGGAGAGGGAUGCGGAAUUCCAGGUGUAGCGGUGAAAUGCGUAGAUAUCUGGAGGAACACCUGUGGCGAAAGCGGCUCACUGGACCACAACUGACGCUGAUGCACGAAAGCUAGGGGAGCAAACAGG
rnacentral:rRNA from 1 species